GGAAAGGUGAGGGGAGGGGUUGGCGCAGGGCAGCAUGGGAGGCGGCCCCGGGCGCCAACUUUCAAAAGCGGGCGCGAUGGCGUCACGGGACGCGCUGCGGGUCGCGUCACGCCGCACGCGCCCUCGACUGGUCGCGCGUGGGCUCUUAGGGAGCCCAGCGUCCGGGCUCCAGCUGGGUGGGGCUUCCUGGGCGGAGGCAGUCCCUUCUGGGAGGCCCAGGAUCCCGGCCCAGUUGACCUGCUUAGCUGCAGUCUCCCGUCCUGAAUCCGAAAGGGCGGACGUGGGGCGGGGGGAGGGUGUUUGGAGGAAGCGCGCGCGGGACUAGGCCGUGGGGCUGAGGCGGUUCUUGGGCGGAGCCCCGCCCUAGUCUCCGCCCUAGCCGGGCCGGACCCGCCCUCCGAGCGCCGCAGGGCAGCCCGCCACGGGUAAGGCCGGGCGGGUCCCCUCUCACUCCCAAGUCCUCAGAAACAAUCCUUCGCCCGCGAGCCAAGACGAGCAGGGCUGUCCUGUGGCUCUCUCUGCCCUACAAGAGAGCUUCCUAAUACUGGGGGUGAGAGAAGAGGGCUAGGGCCCUCUCCUAGUGUGCCCAGGCCACUUCAGCCGGGAGAGGCCAGCGGAAGGCCAGACUUGAUGCUUUUACACGAACGAUCGUACCAGUCUUUUGCCAAAAGGGUGCUCUCUAUUUGGCGCAGUGUAAUUGUGUAUUUGAAAAUGUACGUUUCUUGUUUUUGCCUAAGAACUGUUAAGCUCUCUGUAGGCGGAGUCCUUAAGCCCCUCACUGUGCGGUUGCCCCUCCCCCUCCCGAGGAUGCACCUGCAAGCUCUACCCAACCAGCAAUAAAAUUCCCUGAAGACUGACUGGAAGAUGUUCUGGUGACUCAGGAGGAGAACCGAAUCUGGCUCAGGACUGUAUCUUUAAUUCCCUUACCUUGAAUGAAGGGGGAACAAACGGACCCAGCGUCAAGGGAACAGCUGCUGCUCCAUUGAGCUGACUGUUCCAUUAUGAAAAUGUUAGCCCAAUACUGACGCCUAUUUUGUUAUUUCUUUUUAAAGGAAAUCUGGAUUUUUUUUUUUUUUAGUGUAAAAUCUCCAGGUGUGGGCAACUGUAUCAGAUGUUUUAAAACUGCAUAAGCUGAUUAAGCCACCCACAAGUGCUGUCAGUUUAUAUGACCCCUGACUUGAAGGAAAGUGAAGAGAAGUUCCACGGCCAAAUCCUAGGCACCCCAGCAUUUAAGAUAAUGUAAUGGAGAAAGAGACUUGAGAAGGAACCGCCAGGAAGACAGAAGGAAAUCCACUGAGUGUUAAAUUUGGAAUCCAAGGGCAGAGAAGGACUCAGGAGAGGAAUGGUUAAUUGCGUUUAGUGCUGUUGAGAGGUCAUCUUGGGCCAGAAACAUGGCUAUAUUGAAUUGGCUACCUUGGGUGCUCGCUUCAGCAGCACAUAUACUAAAAUUGGAAUGAGUUGGCUACCUUCGAAGUCACUGGUGAUUAUCACUGGGCUUGCAGGAUCUUACAGGGUUGAACCCAGACCCACAGGAGUGAAAGCACUGAGUCUUAACCACUGGACCGCCAGGAAAUUCCCUUGUUUGCCUUAAAUCAGGGUGAAAUUCAUGAAAGAAUAUAAGGAAACUGGGAGGUUUGACCCUGAAUAGGAACAGGAUGCUUCCACUGUGGAAAUUAGAGUAACAAGGGUGAAGAUGGAUGCAAAUGCAGGGGAGAGGAAAUGGUGAUGUGUCCUACUUUGUGCAUGAAGUUGGCCCUAAAGAUCAAGGGACGGAAAGCCCGUCCAAAAGGAUAGUCUGUUUCAGGCAGGACAGAAACAGGCUGAGAAGAGUAAUAUGGUGAGAGCCUGGGGAAUGGUUGGGAUGAUAAAAAUAAGGACAAGUUUGUUGCCUGUAGUAGUAUCCCAGACUUCGUCACCCGGAGAGAACUGUGGUGAUUUAAAACUGCCUAGUGAUUUAAGAAAGUGUUCUUCUCAUGGACUAUCUCAGGUUUGUAGUCCACAGGAGUUCAGGGCAUAAUCAGCAGAAGGCUGUUGGCUUACCUCGUGGCAGUAGUGAAGUCACCAGGUUCUAAGACCUGGCCCUCAGCCUCCAGAGUGGAUUCCUUUCUUAGAGACUCAUCAGGUUCACAGGAGCUUGAUGGAUAAGCCAAGUGACAUUUUACUAACUUGAGAGGUGGACUGGUGCUCACAUGCCGGCAAAAGGUAUGUUCUCUCCCUAUAGGAGAGCCUCCUGGGAAGCCAUAUUACCAGAAAUCUUCAGUAAGCAGUUAAUUAGGUUGAGAUAUAAUUUAUAUAAUGUAAAUGUUUAAUAUCAUCCUCUCCAGAUGCUGGAGCCAUACUAUCUGGCAUUUGAAUCUUGUCUUGGUUUCUUAUUAGCUGUGUGAUCUUAAUUGAAUUAGUAACAACUGCAGGUUUCUUCUCUAUAACACUUCUUCACAAAGUGGUAAGGAUUGAAUGAGAAAAUCCAAGUAAAACUUUAGGCAUAGUUCAAGGCACUGAUAAUCAUACAAUAAAUGUAAACUGUAAUUUUUUUGUAUGCUCUUGUUAACCUACCCUCACUCCCAAAUUUGCCUUCUGAUGGCCAUGGUCUUUAAUUAAUUAAUAGGAUUAAUUAAUUGAAUUACUUAUUGACUACACUUUUCUUGGCCUGGAAGCCAUUCUUUCUGAGGAAAGUGUAUUUUGUGCUAUUAUUCUCAGAAGAAUAAUUCUAUUUCCAAAUCUUCCUUAGUUCCCACUGUUGCCCCCAGGUAAAGCUUGCAAUAAUCGUGGUCAUUUAUAUAUUUUGGGGAACUCAUUAAGCAAGAGACUCAAUGAAUUGAGGAGAGAUGUGCUGAUUUUCUGAGUUACAGUGGGCAAGACUCUUCCUGCCCACUUUGCGGGAUAAGACCUAAAGCUACACCUGAGCACUCCCAUUGCUCUGUGUCUACUGAGGACAUGUGUGAGGUAUAAUCCAGUUCAGCAAAGAUUUACUGAAUACUGUCUUCAGCUCCCUUUCUAGGCACAGGGAAUACAAAGAUGAACCAAGAUGUGUUUCCCGCUCUUAAAGUUUAGAAAACAAAACCAAAACACAUUAAUGCAUAACUGUGAUAAUGGGAAGAAAUGGACUCAUAAAGGAGCAAAUCAUUUCCCAGGAGCAUCUCAUUUCAGCUUGGUGUUAAUAGAAUCAGAAGGGCUUCCCCAGUGGCUCAGUGGUAAAGAACGUGCCUUUCCAAUGCAGAAGAUGUGGGUUCGAUCCCUGGGUUGGGAAGAUCCCCUGGAGGAGGAAAUGGUAACCUACUUCAGUAUUCUUGCCUGGAGAAUCCCAUGGACAGAGGAGUCUGGCAGGCUACAGUUCAUGGGGUCGCAAAGAGUCAGACAUGACUGAGCACACAGGCACGCAAAAGCUCAGAAGGCAUUAACAAGGUAAGGCAUGUAAGGUGAAGAGCCAUAAUCAAGGGCAUGAGAGGGUACAAGAGUUUUGGGGGGACAGUAAGUCAUCCCAUUCUUUCGGAUGAGGGUAUAGUGAUACUAAACCUUGAAAGUUAUUUGGAUUUCUGAUUCAAUCGAAAAUAGGCCAAAGAUCUAAACAGACAUUUCUCCAAAGAAGACAUACAGAUGGCUAAAAAACACAUGAAAAGAUGCUCAACAUCACUCAUUAUCAGAGAAAUGCAAAUCAAAACCUCAAUGAGGUACCAUUACACGCCAGUCAGGAUGGCUGCUAUCCAAAAGUCUACAAGCAAUAAAUGCUGGAGAGGGUGUGGAGAAAAGGGAAUCCUCUUACACUGUUGGUGGGAAUGCAAACUAGUACAGCCACUAUGGAGAACAGUGUGGAGAUUCCUUAAAAAACUGGAAAUAGAACUGCCACAUGACCCAGCAAUCCCACUCUUGGGCAUGCACACUGAGGAAACCAGAUCUGAGAGACAUGUGCACCCCAAUGUUCAUCGCAGCACUGUUUAUAAUAGCCAGGACAUGGAAGCAACCUAGAUGCCCAUCAGCAGACGAAUGGAUAAGGAAGCUGUGGUACAUAUACACUAUGGAAUAUUACUCAGCCAUUAAAAAGAAUUCAUUUGAAUCAGUUCUAAUGAGAUGGAUGAAACUGGAGCCCAUUAUACAGAGUGAAGUAAGCCAGAAAGAUAAAGACCAAUACAAUAUACUAACACAUAUAUAUGGAAUUUAAACAGAUGGUAACGAUAACCCUAUGUGCAAAACAGAAAAAGAGACACAGAUGUACAGAACAGACUUUUAGACUCUGUGGGAGAAGGCGAGGGUGGGAUGUUCUGAGAGAAUAGCAUUGAAACAAGUAUACUAUCAAGGGUGAAACAGAUCGCCAGCCCAGGUUGGAUGCAUGAGACAAGUGCUCAGGGCUGGUGCACUGGGAAGACCCAGAGGGAUGGGAUGGAGAGGGAGGCGGGAGAGGGGAUCGGGAUGGGGAACACAUGUAAAUCCAUGGCUGAUUCAUGUCAAUGUAUGGCAAAAACCACUACAAUAUUGUAAUUAGCCUCCAACUAAUAAAAAGGAAAAAAAAAAAAAAAAGAUAUUUGGAAAGCUUUCAAUCUCAACUGCCAAGGCCAACCACUUUCUCCUAAAUUUUAAAGACCUGCCCUUCUAUAUCAUCUCCUAUCCAGACUACAGGAAUUUGUUUCCUUAUUGAUAUCUGCUUUCUUCAGAACCCUAUGAAAAUUCUAUUUUACCUCCCAGCUCAAACUAUUGCUCUCUACAGUCUAAAGGAUUUUGCUUGGGCCUACAUCUCACAUUUGAGCAGUAGGUUACUUUUGUCCUCUGUGCUCUUACCUGCAUUUUUCAGAUGUGCAUUGAUCACCCUUAAAUAAUCCACCUAAUCUGUUCACUUUUCAUUUUAAAAAACACCUUCAUGCCUGCCCUGUUAAUUGAUGUUCACAGUUCUUUUUGAAGAGCCAGCCACAGUUUUGUCCCUUAACUCUGAAAGUGAAGUGACUUGCUCAGAGUUGUCCAGUAACUUGUUGACAAAACCAGAAUGAGUACUCAGAUCUUCCAGCCCCACCCUCUCUCUUCCUGUUCUUUCACUGGCCACUCUGAGCUCCUCAUUCUAUUAGGUAAUAUUUCCAUUUUUAUAGGGAUCCUCUGUACUUGAUGCUUUAGCUCAGGGAGUGCUUGGGAGGGGGAAAAGGAAGAGAGGUCUAUCAGGUGAGCUCUGGACCUCUCUGCUCCCUCAUUUUCUCCCCCUCCAAAUUUUAUGUGAUUUGUUUAGAGGUAAAAAGGUUUCUUCCCCUCCACACAAGUUGGACAGUGCCUUAACCCAAAGGGAGGGCUUUAAUGGUGGAAAUUUCAGGCUCUUAGUAAAUAGAAGAGGUAUUUGGAAUCACGACUUACUAAUCUGUAAGUAAACCUUGAAUAGGGCUUCCCAGGUGGCUCAGGAGCCCUAUUAAUUAAUUAAAGACCAUGGCCAUCAGCUCAGGAGCCUGGCAGUCCAUGGGGUCACAAAGAGUCAGAAACGAUGAAGCAACUGAGCAUGCACACACGCACGCAAGUCCUGAAUCAACUGCUCUAUACCCAGGUCUAUGCUCAAGGUUAGGGUGCUACUGGAGAGAGAGGAUGCCCCUAGCCCUCAAGUGCCUCAUGUUUUGUCUUGUAUUAAUCUGGAGACACUAAACCCUCAUGAGUAUUAAUAGGUAAAAGUCAAGGGUAGAGAAGCAAGUAAAAGGAGGGUAUGAGUAGCAGGUGUGAGAGGAACAGAUUAGUCACUAGAUAUCACUGUGGUCAUACGAGACUUCACAGUGAAGCAAGGAUGACUCUCAAACUUCUCCCUCUAACCUACAUGUUUCUCUUCUUGCCCAGAUCUACAUGUCUAGCUUCUUUCUGGACACUUCCUCCUGGAUGGCUCCCAGGCUACCCUUAGGAGCCUUGUCACUCUCCUCCUCAUUUGCUUCGCUAGGGCUCCCCCUUUACAAUGAAAGAUACCCCCAUCCAUCCACCACACUGGCCAGAAACCUAAGCUUCAUUCUCUCCUCUCCCACAUCCCAUCAGUUUCCAAAUCCCAUCCAUUCUACCUUCUGAACAUUUCACUCUAACCUCCUCUCUAUCCCUGCCUGGCUUAGCAUCAGGCUCCUCACUGCUCCCUGCCUCCUCCCUCAACACAAAGCAACCUUUCCAAACCACAGAUGGGAUCACAAAAUUCCCCCACUUCAAGCCCAUGCAUGAGUCCCCAGUGUCCUAGGAGUAAAUCCCAACUCCUCAGCCACUCCACAAGCCCCUUUCUAACUGCCCCCUCUGGCCCCUGGGGUUUCAACUUGUCUCCUCCACUCGUCUGACCUCAGUUCUCUCUCCCUGUAUUGUCCCCUGCUCAGGCUUCCAUUCCAUUCCUUAUUUGAGAACCCAGUGGUAAAAGUGCAUUCUAAGGAGCUACAUUUCACAGGGGACUCUGAGGGGUGUUUUUAUCCAGACUUUUUCUGCACUAAACAUAUACUGUUCUUUCAUAUUCACAGUGUUUUCAGAUUGUGUUAAGUUUUAGAGAUAUGCAUCAAAAGCUAUUUCUUGACCACUUACUAUGUAUUUGGCCUUAGUUGCUGGGAACAGUAAAGGCAGAUGCAGCCUGAUUAAACAGAGAAUUGCCUGGAGCACGUGUUUAAAAUAAAGAGUCCUUGGUCUCUGAAUUUGAAUCUCCAGGGAAGUUCUCAGGUGAAUUUUAGAACUGAGUAAGUUGGAAAGACCUAACCUGAUUUCAUUUAUAAGAAAUAUUCAGGGACCUCCCAGUGGUUAAAAUUCCCACUUCCACUGCUGGGGACAUGGGUUCAAUCCCUAAUUAGGGAACUAAGAUCCCACAUGCCAGGUGAUACAGCCAAAAAAAAAAAAAAGAAGAAGAAAGAAAUAUCCAGAACAGGCAAAUCUAUAGAAUCUAUGUAGAUUAGUGGUUGCCUUGGGGGCUGGGGAGCAGGAAAGGGAAGGGGAUGCAGAGAUCCUGGGGAUGAUACUUAAGGAGUGCUGAAUUUCUUUUGAGGUUGAUGAAAUCUCUAAAAUUGAUUUGGUGAUGAUUGCACAACCCUAAAUACACUAAAAGCUGCUACUGAAUUGUACAUUUUAAACUGAUGAAUUGUAUGGUAUGUGGACUAAAUCUCACUAAAGCUGUUUAAAAACAAAACAAAAAACUUGGACCGAGCUCUACAAGGAAGGCAGCAAUCAUCUUUCCGAGACUUGGGUGGUAUGCGUUACUUAGCUGACUAGUCAGCAAAUACUUACAGGUGUGUAUAUUGGAGGUGUAAACGAGUGAUUGCAAUGGGGUGUGAUUCCCCUAAAAAUGUACUAGGGGAAACACGUGCUCCUAUGACAGGAGCACAGUGGAAGGGAAGCUUCCUGAGGAAGUUUGUGAUGUUCAGCUUGAAGCCUAUCAGGUAACCAGGCAUUAGCAAGGCAAGAUGAGUGUACCACAGAGGGGCAAGCAAGCCCCAAGGAUGGUUCAGUGAGGUCCAGUGCAGACUGAGAAGUUACGUGGCAGAAAUGGGGCUGGAGAGAGGAACCCACUUAAAAGCCUUUGUGAGCCAGGUUGAGGGGGCUGGAAUUUUCCCUAAGAGAAACAGACUAUAGUGAUGGGUCUGUUUUUAGAAAUCACUUUGCACCUUGGAGACUGGAUGGAAAAAGGGCAAGACCAGAGGCAGGGAGCCCGUGAGGGGGCAGUUUUAGUGUUUAGGAGAGAGGUCAACAUGUCUGGAAACUGAGUGGUGCCAAUGGGGAUGAAGAGAAACAGACAGAACUUAGCAAUAUUUAGGGCAUUUAAUUGCAAAGAUUCUGAUGGUUGGGAUGAGGGUAUAGGGGCAAGAAUCAAGAGUGAGGCCCAGUUGUGUGGCUUGAGUGCCUGGGUAGUUGGUAACCCCAAGAGUCCGGGAGGAGAAGCAGGUUUUGAGAUGUUUGAUUUUGAGCAUGCUCUUCAAAAGAUGUCCAGUCAGCAGUUGGACAUGAGGGUCGGGAGAUGAGGGGAGAGCCAUGUGAAUCACAGCCAUGAGGCAUACAGCCUCCGCAUAUAGAUGGAAGCCAGAGACAUGGGUAAGGUGGUUCAGGGAGUGUGUUUCAAAAGAGAGGAGCAAGGGGCCUAGAAUGGAAUGUUGUGGAGUGAUGUUUGUAAGAGGACGCUUGGGGAGGAAGAAGAGAAAGUUGUAGGGAGAUUCAGGGCAAACAGCUAGAAACGUCGGUGUUAGCAUGGCAAUUCAGUUGCUUAUUCAGCUUCUGCAAGUCAAUACUCUUGGCAGAUCCAAUAUGCUCUGGGUGUCUUCAGAGAGAAAUGAGACUUGACCCUUGAUAUCAAACUCAAACUGUGACCAUCACCCCAUUGCAGCCUUCUGAAACAAGGGGCCCCUUCCUGCAGGUCAAUGACAGUCUUAUUUUCCAAAUGAUAGAUGUUUUUCCUUAGCAGUUCAUACAAGUCUGGGAGUUCUUCCCAAGCACACCCUCUAUAUUACAUCAGACCAGGAGAGCCAGGUCUGGCAGUCAGGCCAAGAGCCUUCUGUCCGUGGCCAAGAGAUGGCCUAAAUAGGGUCCUCCAGGGAUGCCAGGGGUGGGGGGGAGCAUGUCAUAUGCCCAGGGUUCAGCACAUUGUGCCCACAACACCAGGCAGAAGCACACAAGGAAGGCAGCCCCGCUUGUGGGCGAGACAAAGAAGCAGUUCUCUUCCCACGUGCCAACCCAUCUGCCUCUUUGCCUUUACCAACAUGUUUUUUCUUUCUUCUUUUUUUGGUCCUCUGAAGCUUUGAAUACAUGAGGAAGGAGAGUAGGAGACUGCAGGAAAGGUAAGGUUGGAAAAGGGUGAAAGGAAAGGUGGUGUUGGGGGGGAUCCAGUGCCCACCGACCCAAUAAACUGCAUCCUGGACUACCUCAGCCUGAUCCAUUUUUCUGCAGCGCGGGCUUAUAAGUUUCUCCCGGGGAGAGACCCAGCAGUGGUGGCCAGGGCAUGGCUGCGGCCUUGAUGGAC